GUCUUUGCUGCUGUCGCCUAAGAGGUGGACACAGCUCCCGAGGACUUACGGUGAAAAAAGUGGGGAGGAAAUGGCCUUGAAGGUCAGGGGGAGGGAAGUGAGUGUGAGGGGCAGAGAGUGGCAGCCUCUGCCUCUCCCAUGCACUUCCUGUUUGCACCUGAGCUUGCUCGCCUGAAAAAUGGAGGGGAUGCUCCCUCCUGUGCAGGCCUGGCACUUCACAGGUGCUCAACAAAUGCAUGUUUCUUCCUUUUUUGCCCAAAAGCUAGAAGCCAAGCCAGUCUCCUCACCUGAAAAAUGGGAAGAGCAAAAUAUCCUACCCUAGAGGGUUGCUGUGAGAGCCGAAAGCGUCUAUCCACGUGAAGCACAUGGGACAGAGCCUGGCACAAAGAAAAUGCUUCCCAGCAAUGGAAAGCCCUGAUGGAGCCCGGUGUAAACUAUGCAGGGUGCCAGAGCCCCCACUGACAGCGCUGGUGUCCACAUGUGGUCACAGGGAUACAGCGGCAGCAUCCCAAAGCCCUAGCCUGGUCCAUCACCCUCAAAACUGCCUCUGGUUUGUCCAAGUCUACCAGGAUUCAAGUUCAUUUCAGAAAAGCAGUGGCCAGAAACCAAGGCCUGGAGGGGGCUGGGGAGGUGUCAGGGAAGGGAUCAGAGGCCAAGCUCUGUGUUUCCUCAGACAAAGAGAGAAAGCAGGCUGAGAGAUGGCGGCAGCAUGUGACACCUGGGCCACAGGCCUGGGCAGCAGCCGUGGCAGCCAAGGGGAUAAUGGCUCUCUUUGUCCUGCGUGUAAAUUCUCCGGAAAAGAAAGGAUUCCAGGGCCUGCUUCUCCGGCUUGCACAAUGCUGGCCGCCUGGGGCCCCACUGCGAGGGCCUGCCAUGGCAUUCGGGGAGCAGUGAGGCCCCUUCUCUGUCUCGUUCCUUCCAGGCGUGCAGAAGCGGAAAGUCAGGCUGCCGUGCCAGACAUUCUGCAGGGGGUUGGGAGGCUGGGCUGAGGCACAGCCUGUGCCAGGAGCUUUGUUUCACAGCCUCGAGGAAACCAAAGCAUCUUGAAGCUCUGAAUUAGAAAGAGUCUUAGAGAGCAUCCAUGCCAGCUCUUCCUAAUACUUGUCCCACCCCCUACCUUCUCUGCCUACCACUCCCCACUCCCCUGCCUUCAGCAGCCAAGAAUGGUUACAAACACAGGCUUUGGAGUCAGAGAGGGCUGAGUUCAAAUGCUGACAAUGCCACUCACAAGCUAUUUCAUCUCUAUGGGCUUCAGUUUCUCCACCUGCAAAAUGGACAUAAUAGCACCUACUCAUAAGAUUGUCAAUAGGAAUAAGUGAGAAAAUGCAUGUACCAUGCUUAAUGUGGACACAGCCUCCAGAAGCGCUCAAUAAGGGUAGACGGUCCAGUAGGUCACCCAGCCUGUACUUGAUUUCCUCCAAGGGCAGGCAAUCACUGCUUGCAUUCCAUUUUCAGACCAAGUUCAAAUCUGUCUCUUAUACCCUCAUGGGUGCUGAGGGUAAAGGGGAGAGGGCCUACAUACAUUAAACAUUUCCUACAUGUUA
rnacentral:lncRNA from 1 species